CUGUACGAGCGGAACUCUGUGAUAGUCGGCGACACCAGCACAAUCACCGGCACGGAGCUGCACGACACCAGUCCUGCGGCAGCCGCUGGCGAGGCCAACCUGGACAGCGACGAGGGCGUGCGCUCCAUCUCGCCGGCCAGCGUCCUCCUGCUGGACCUGUCCUCCUCCUCAUCGCACCAGCCCAUCAGCGACGAGCUCUUCUUCAGUGCGCUGGACCUCCCGUAUGCGAGCACGCCGCAUCAAGAAAGCUCAUCUAGAUUAUCACGGUUUCCAUUCUGCGGAAUUCCGAGGCUGCCCUCUUGGGACUGCUCCCUGAUACGACGCCGACAUUCCGAUGUUGGAGUGCUCAGCCCUGGUUUGAACCACUCUGGACAUAGCAGCCUACCAUCAAAGAUAUCAGUUGAAGAGAACGUGGG